UUUUGGAUAGCUCAGUGGGUAGAGCGAUUGGUCGAAAAACCAAUAAGUCGCGAGUUCGAGUCUCGCUCCAAAACCCA
rnacentral:tRNA from 1 species